GUGGCAAUAGCUCAGUGGUAGAGCACGUACUUAACAUUCAUGAGGUCCUGGGUUCAAUCCCCAGUACCUCCA
rnacentral:tRNA from 1 species